GAUGAACGCUGGCGGCGUGCCUAAUACAUGCAAGUCGAGCGAACGGACGAGAAGCUUGCUUCUCUGAUGUUAGCGGCGGACGGGUGAGUAACACGUGGAUAACCUACCUAUAAGACUGGGAUAACUUCGGGAAACCGGAGCUAAUACCGGAUAAUAUUUUGAACCGCAUGGUUCAAAAGUGAAAGACGGUCUUGCUGUCACUUAUAGAUGGAUCCGCGCUGCAUUAGCUAGUUGGUAAGGUAACGGCUUACCAAGGCAACGAUGCNUAGCCGACCUGAGAGGGUGAUCGGCCACACUGGAACUGAGACACGGUCCAGACUCCUACGGGAGGCAGCAGUAGGGAAUCUUCCGCAAUGGGCGAAAGCCUGACGGAGCAACGCCGCGUGAGUGAUGAAGGUCUUCGGAUCGUAAAACUCUGUUAUUAGGGAAGAACAUAUGUGUAAGUAACUGUGCACAUCUUGACGGUACCUAAUCAGAAAGCCACGGCUAACUACGUGCCAGCAGCCGCGGUAAUACNUAGGUGGCAAGCGUUAUCCNGAAUUAUUGGGCGUAAAGCGCGCGUAGGCGGUUUUUUANNUCUUGAUGUGAAAGCCCACGGCUCAACCGUGGAGGGUCAUUGGAAACUGGNNAACUUGANUGCAGAANANGAAAGUGGAAUUCCAUGUGUAGCGGUUGAAAUGCGCANANAUAUGGAGGAACANNCAGUGNNGANNCGANUUUUCUGGNUCUGUANNUGACGNUGAUGUGCGAAAGCGUGGGGAUNNANCNGG
rnacentral:rRNA from 1 species